AUUCACAGAACCGAAGCCGAGAGGAGAGGAGAAAAAGAAAGGAGAAGAAGAAGAAGUCGCCUUGCCGCCGUUGUUUCCUUUUGUUCCGCCGCCGUCCGUCGCCGACCGCCCUCGCCGUUGUUCCUCGUCGCCGUCUGCCACGUUAGGCUACUCAAAAGGCCUUGGUUGGGGACCCAAGCCGAAGGCCCGCAGAACGGCAAGUGCAAGCAGUUCGUCGACAUCUUGUUCGCAGUCCACACAAAAAGAGAUUGAAUUACAAGCUAAACUUCAUGAAGCUUUGGAACGGAUUGAAGUACAAGAUAGAAAUCACCAAGCAUUAGCUUCACAAGUGGAAGCUAUGAAAAAGAUGAUUGAAGACCUAACUCGUGCACAACAGGGACCACCACAUGAUCCCUAGCCCUGCGGACCGAAGGUGUAGAAUGACGCGCAUACGCACCUCGUUGGGAGAUUGGGUCUUAUGUUUAUGUUUUUUGUAUAUUGAAAACUAUAUUUUCUUGUAGUCAACUUAUUCGUAUUAUUAAUUUUAAUUCUAUUUUUUAA